UACGUAGGGGGCAAGCGUUGUCCGGAAUUAUUGGGCGUAAAGCGCGCGCAGGCGGUCUUUUAAGUCUGGUGUUUAAGUGCGGGGCUCAACCCCGUGACGCACUGGAAACUGGAGGACUUGAGUGCAGAAGAGGAGAGCGGAAUUCCACGUGUAGCGGUGAAAUGCGUAGAGAUGUGGAGGAACACCAGUGGCGAAGGCGGCUCUCUGGCCUGUAACUGACGCUGAGGCGCGAAAGCGUGGGGAGCAAACAGG
rnacentral:rRNA from 1 species